AAGUCGUAACAAGGUUUCCGUAGGUGAACCUGCGGAAGGAUCAUUACAUUCAGUAGCCCAGCUACUUGUUUAUACCCUUGUUUAUUGCGUACCUAUUGUUUCCUCGGCGGGCUUGCUCGCCGGCUGGACAAAACUUAUAAACUUUUUUAAUCUUCAAUCAGCGUCUGAAUUAUACAUAAUAAUUACAACUUUCAACAACGGAUCUCUUGGUUCUG
rnacentral:misc_RNA from 1 species